UCACCUCUGGCCUCCACACUCACGUACACUCGCUCGCAUGCAUGCAUGCAUGCAUGCACGCACGCACGCACGCACGCACGCACGCACGCACAUAGAGCGACGCUCUUCCGGUAACACCACCAAGGUCCACUGGGAAACUCACCCUUUCACUGGCCACCUGACUCCUGCCUUAACUGAAAGGUUUCGAUGGUGUUCCCUGGGGCUCCCUCUCAGAUAACUCCCUCCUUUCGGUAAGAGCCAAACUGGUGAUUUCUAUACAUUCCCUUUCAACACCAGAACAAAGCAUGUCCCGGUUCUCACUGAGUGGCUGGCCCUCAGUUCCCUGGGCACAAGCACUCCUCCAGUCUCAGCCUCCUGAGGCUAUGAGAUUACAGGCCUGUGCCCUGGCCCACUUUGCAGAGCCGUGUCUAAUUGACUCCUUUCCCCCUGAGUCCAGAUCUCUCAGACUGCUAGCUUCCACCUCCUCUCGUAUCUUCUUUGAAGAGAUUCCCCAGGGUGCUCUCCAAAGAGAGGAACAUUUCUUUGGAAAACAUUACUUCUUAAUGGGUCCAUUAGAUAUUCUAAUAAUUAAGAAUGCAUGUGGAGAAGAAGGCCUCGCCUGACCAGCUACCACUCUCCACCCUUGUGGAGAGAAAAUUCACUAGAAUUUUCUCAUGGCUCCCCUUGUCUGUUUGUUCUUUAUUAUUUUAAGGUGUGCAUGCGUAUGUGCAUGCAUGCGUGUGUGUGUUUGUGUGAGCACACGUGUGCUCGUGGAGGCCAGACGUGUCAGAUCCCCCUGGAGCUGGAGUUUCAGAUGGGUUGGUCAUAAGCUGCUCGGUAUGGGUGCUGGUAACUGAACUGGGAGAUCCCCAGCAGGAACAGUGUGUGGCCUUAACCAGUGAGCACAAUCCCCAUUUGCGUUUUAAAAUCUGCUUUUUAUUUCUGUGUUUAUCCACCUGCAGGCUUCUUUUUGGUUUCCACCUGUUCUACCCCUUCAGACUGUGAGCUCCAUUUAUGGAGAAAGCAUGCCUACUGUGUUUUCCACGGUGGCCCCCAGCGCAUAGCAGAGCUCCUGCCCCAGAGAGGCAUUGUUAAACCCGUCAUUGAGUGGGUGGAUACAGUAGAAUAUUCGUGAUAAGUGAUGUACCGUGGUGGCCUUGGCUAGUAUUAACUGAAAGGCAUGGUGCAGCAGGGUGGGGCAGGUGAUGCUGGACACACGACACCUGGGUUCUGGGGAGCAGAACAGAGUGGGAAGAAGCCAAUGGGCAUAAAAAGCAUCCUUUAUGAUAGAAAUGGUUGCCCACAGCUGGCCGGCGUGGUCUGCAUCCAGAGCGGGCAGAGCAGCUUCAGGCUACUGGUUCGUGCUAACAAAGCAGACCAGCAGGCUGACGACAAUGCCCGCCUUGUCCAUGGGGACACCUGGCAAAGCCACUACAGCCGGCAUCCACUACGGCUUAAAGAAUGCAUGCAUGGAUACGCUGGACCAACUGCAAGGAUCACCUAGUCAUCCAACCCCUUAAGAUGGAAGGAAGCUCCAUGAGUGUUGUCUGAGUUUUUGCUGGAUUCCCAAGAUGAAGGGUGCCUGGUGCCAAGUAGGUGUUUAAUAUGACUUUCAUGGAAUAAAUACUGAGGACUCUUGUCCAAAGUCAGGAAAACCUAUAUGAGAUAAUUGGAAGAUGGAGUAAAAAAGUUUCUUUUGUGCAGUGUCUGGGAAAUGAAGUUAGGAGCGAUUUUAUACAUUUAGCACAAAGGGGCUCUGCUGGUUAAUCUUGAUUAUCAGUUAACUGGACUCAGAAUGCCUAGGAGAUCAGUAAGCACACCUCCAGUGCCUCUGUGAGGGCAUUAGACCAUGAUGGUUCUAGCCUAGUGAAAGGUUUGAUCCACGAAUGGAGCCUAAAUUUGAAUAUACUAUUAGGAGGGGACAGAACUGUGGGAGGUGGGGCGUGGCUGAAGGAAGUAGGUCUCCAAAAGAGCCUCGGAGGACCACAUCUUGCCCUGGCUCUUUCCAGUGGUUUCUCUGUAUCUGGUUUGUUGUGAUAUGAGAUGUCCCACCACCCCCUCCCAACCAUUUUAAACCUCUGAAACCAUGAUUGAGACAUAUCGUUCCACGCGACAGUUGUUUCUGUAACAUCCUGGGCCAUAGCUAUGAUAUGACGACGAACACAGGGCUAUAAAAUGGAACAAAAGCAAAACAUAAUUCUUUUUCUCAUAAUAUUCCCCCCUGGCUAUGGAGAGCAGUGUUUUUAGACUUGUAACUUCUAGCUGAGGGAGUAAGAGGAGAGGUCAAGGUUCAAGUUGGAAACCACAAAAUGAGGUAAAUCUUUAGAGGGGCGUUGACUCCUGGGACAGCUGGACAGACAAAUUACUCCCGACCAGAUAACCACUAGAGCCAGACUGUGUGGUUAGAAGGUCCAUGUCCUGGAACUCAGUCUCUAGGCUUAGCUAGCUCAGUUGUCCCAUGUCUCAUCGUGUUUCUUGCAGGCACAUGAAGAAACAGCUGUAGCAUUUCUUGCUCAUGCUGUUUACCUAGCUCUCCAUAGUUUUAGGAAUAGCUACUGGAUUUCUCUAAAUUUAGUGGUGAAUUUUGGUAAAUUUAAUACAGUCACUCAAUUUGGGACAGUUGUGGGGAGAAGGACACAUAGGGAAAGUUUGAUUGAAGGGUACAAAGUUGAAGUUAGGAGGAAUAGGCUUACACAAUCCAGCAGAGAAGUGAUGACAAUAAGUAAUAAUGUGGUUUAUAUUUCAAAAUUGCCAAAAGGUCACAUUUUAAAUGUUUUAUCCCAAAAUUACAAUUACAUGGGGAUAAUAGAUUUGGUUACUAGCUAAUUUAGUUAUCUCAUAUUGUAAACAUAUAUCAAAAUACUUUGUUGUACGCCACAAAUACAUUCGAUUAUUAGUUAACUUACCAUAAACUUCUGAAGACUUGAAUUUGUCUGAUUAAGAAGAACCCAUUUCAGCCUACUCUUUCUUGGCUACACCCCAAUCUCUAACCACAAUUAAAUGGACUAAAGGAAAAGGUUCUUUUUCAAGAUAUGAUUGGAUUUUACAUGCUUUGGUCCCAGGUCGUAGAGAAUUGGGUUGGGUUAGGGUUAGGGUUAGGGUUAGGGCUAUGGUUAGGGUAGGGUUAGGGUUAAGGUGGUUAGGAUUAGGUUUAGACUUAGGCUCAGGGUUAGGUUUAGGGGGUUGGGUUUUGGUUAGGAUUAGGGGUUAGGGUUAAGUGAUAGGAGUUAGUGUUAGUGUUAGGGGUUAGUGUUAGAGUUAGGGAUUAGGGCUAGCAGUUACGAAUAGUGUUAAUCUCAUCAGACCAAUCAGAAUACUUGUAUCUGAUAAUUACUUCAUUCAAUAAAAUCAUUGGAUUUUUUUUGUUAUCAAAUGGUCAGCUGGGCUAUGUGCCAGGCAAGCCCUUGAGAACAGACCCUGGAAACAACACACAUUUGAAAUUCUUUUGUAUCAAAACAAGCUGUGAGGACAGGAUGCAGUUGGAGGUCACUCUCUCUCCUCUGCCUGGACCCGGGUUACUAUAGUUCACCAGGAAAUAGUUUGGACCCUGAAAAAGCUCCAAGUCCUGCUUCAGGGAGCUCAUGCCUCUUGGCUUCCUUGCUGCUCCUUUGUGACCAGAAGAUGGCUGCACAACCACAUGCUGGGCCACACUGCUCCUAUUGUUCCCCUCAGAGCACAGGAGAACCCAUGCUCACUGGUUCCUGAUUCAGGAUGAACAGCCUCCUGUGAAGACAGCCCCAGAUGCCUGGCCUCCAGGGUGUGGUCCCUCUGCAUCCUGAGGCUGAGGACCCGUGGAGACAGCUGCAUGCAGAAGCCCCUUUCCCAUGCCCUUCCUCAUGCACACGCUGCCUCUCAGUCUCUCCAUGUGUGGUGAGGACACCCAUGGAGAAGAAGUGACAACCUGUGAGUCCUGCUGCUUUCCAGGAGUCCCCAGGGCCUGGUAGUGUGGGAGGUAAGGAGGAGUCAGGGGUCUCCUGACACUGACAGAUGCCAGCUGCUGUGUGGGACCAAAGGUUUUUAAUGGUGCCCAGUGUGGUUUGACCCUCCCCUCGCUUCCUUUAUCAUUUCUUCUGUGCUUUGGGAUGUACUUGUUAAUCAAGGGUUGAUUCUGAAAACAGGCAGGUUGGAGGGGAGGCCAGGAGAAAUCUCAGGGGAACCUUAGAAAGUCUCAAAAUCAUUGGCUCAUCAGAGAAAGUCACUAUCUAAGACUCAGGUUCCAAUUCCAUCCCAACCACGGCUUUGACACAUAGUACCAAUGUAGUGACAGUGGCAGCUGCCCAGUUCAUACCCAGUGAGAUGAUGGUCUGACCUAAGGCAUCGCCACUAGGAAAGAGUGAAUGAGUAGUAAUUUAGGAGCCUCAAUAUUUGGAGGUAGAUUCUGACGAUUUUCUUACGUUGAAGGAAGAUGAAGAGAAAGUGGGCAUAUGGAGGGACCACACCUUCAUCACAGGGAUGCUUUAAGAACGAAUGAAUGGACCUGCAAAUGUCUGCUUCACGAGCAACCUCGUCUCUCCUCAGAAACACACAGACUGAGAUUUUCCGGGAUUGUUCUGAGGUCUGGAGGAGCUGGCAGGAACUAAUUGUGGCCUUGUUUCUGAUUCUUCGACCUGAACAUAUCUUCUGUGAGAAUUCCUAGCCACUCCCCCAGCUCCAUGACCUCCGGUGUGCUGGCAAGAUGCUUAGCCAUCCUAGGGCCUUGUGUCCUACGUAAUCCGUGUGCUGCGUGAUCUUGUAAUUUGCAAACAACGUGAUCACGUAAUCCGUGUGCAUGUGUGCUGUAGCUAGGUAAGCCGUAUGUGCAUGUGCGGGAGCAGGGAAUCUAUAAAAGCAGGUUCCACUUGUUCCUUCCCUCUCUUCCUGCAUAGUCGUUCCAUAGGCCGAUGCACAUCUUUCCUAUUCCCUUCCCUUAAUAAACUCUUAUAGUGGG